rnacentral:rRNA from 1 species
AUUGAACGCUGGCGGCAGGCUUAACACAUGCAAGUCGAGCGGGGUGAUGGUGCUUGCACUAUCACUUAGCGGCGGACGGGUGAGUAAUGCUUAGGAAUCUGCCUAUUAGUGGGGGACAACAUCUCGAAAGGGAUGCUAAUACCGCAUACGUCCUACGGGAGAAAGCAGGGGAUCACUUGUGACCUUGCGCUAAUAGAUGAGCCUAGGUCGGAUUAGCUGGUUGGUGGGGUAAAGGCCUACCAAGGCGACGAUCUGUAGCGGGUCUGAGAGGAUGAUCCGCCACACUGGGAAGGAGACACGGCCCAGACGCCUACGGGAGGCAGCAGUGGGGAAUAUUGGACAAUGGGGGGAACCCUGAUCCAGCCAUGCCGCGUGUGUGAAGAAGGCCUUAUGGGUGUAAAGCACUUUAAGCGAGGAGGAGGCUCUUUUGGUUAAUACCCAGAAUGAGUGGACGUUACUCGCAGAAUAAGCACCGGCUAACUCUGUGCCAGCCGCCGCAGUAA